GGAUCCAGACUUUGAUUAUGGCUCAGGACGAACGCUGGCGGCGCGCCUAACACAUGCAAGUCGAACGGAGAUUACAGGCGGAAGUUUUCGGAUGGAAGCUUGUAAACUUAGUGGCGGACGGGUGAGUAACACGUGAGCAACCUGCCUAUCAGAGGGGGAUAACGAUUGGAAACGAUCGCUAAUACCGCAUGACAUAGCGAAACCGCAUGGUUUUGCUAUCAAAGAUUUUAUCGCUGAUAGAUGGGCUCGCGUCCGAUUAGAUAGUUGGUGGGGUAACGGCCUACCAAGUCGACGAUCGGUAGCCGGACUGAGAGGUCGAACGGCCACAUUGGGACUGAGACACGGCCCAGACUCCUACGGGAGGCAGCAGUGGGGGAUAUUGCACAAUGGGGGAAACCCUGAUGCAGCGACGCCGCGUGAGGGAGGACGGUCCUCUGGAUUGUAAACCUCUGUCUUCGGGGACGAAACGAGACGGUACCCGAGGAGGAAGCCACGGCUAACUACGUGCCAGCAGCCGCGGUAAUACGUAGGUGGCAAGCGUUGUCCGGAAUUACUGGGUGUAAAGGGAGCGUAGGCGGGCAGGCAAGUCAGGCGUGAAAUAUAUCGGCUCAACCGGUAACGGCGCUUGAAACUGCAGGUCUUGAGUGAAGUAGAGGUUGGCGGAAUUCCUAGUGUAGCGGUGAAAUGCGUAGAUAUUAGGAGGAACACCAGUGGCGAAGGCGGCCAACUGGGCUUUUACUGACGCUGAGGCUCGAAAGUGUGGGGAGCAAACAGGAUUAGAUACCCUGGUAGUCCACACCGUAAACGAUGAUUACUAGGUGUGGGGGGACUGACCCCUUCCGUGCCGGAGUUAACACAAUAAGUAAUCCACCUGGGGAGUACGGCCGCAAGGUUGCAACUA
rnacentral:rRNA from 1 species